rnacentral:rRNA from 1 species
UACGUAGGUGGCAAGCGUUGUCCGGAUUUAUUGGGCGUAAAGCGAGUGCAGGCGGUUCAAUAAGUCUGAUGUGAAAGCCUUCGGCUCAACCGGAGAAUUGCAUCAGAAACUGUUGAACUUGAGUGCAGAAGAGGAGAGUGGAACUCCAUGUGUAGCGGUGGAAUGCGUAGAUAUAUGGAAGAACACCAGUGGCGAAGGCGGCUCUCUGGUCUGCAACUGACGCUGAGGCUCGAAAGCCAUGGGUAGCAAACAGG